rfam:Danaus plexippus plexippus isolate F-2 unplaced genomic scaffold DPSCF300216, whole genome shotgun sequence.
UCUUGUUCCUAAGUACUAGUGCCGCAGGAGUGCUUUAAUUAUCUCCUGCUGCUUAAGUGCUUAUCAAUAGAU